GCAGGCCUAACACAUGCAAGUCGAGCGGUAGCACAGAGAGCUUGCUCUCGGGUGACGAGCGGCGGACGGGUGAGUAAUGUCUGGGAAACUGCCUGAUGGAGGGGGAUAACUACUGGAAACGGUAGCUAAUACCGCAUAACGUCGCAAGACCAAAGUGGGGGACCUUCGGGCCUCAUGCCAUCAGAUGUGCCCAGAUGGGAUUAGCUAGUAGGUGGGGUAACGGCUCACCUAGGCGACGAUCCCUAGCUGGUCUGAGAGGAUGACCAGCCACACUGGAACUGAGACACGGUCCAGACUCCUACGGGAGGCAGCAGUGGGGAAUAUUGCACAAUGGGCGCAAGCCUGAUGCAGCCAUGCCGCGUGUGUGAAGAAGGCCUUCGGGUUGUAAAGCACUUUCAGCGGGGAGGAAGGCGGUGAGGUUAAUAACCUCAUCGAUUGACGUUACCCGCAGAAGAAGCACCGGCUAACUCCGUGCCAGCAGCCGCGGUAAUACGGAGGGUGCAAGCGUUAAUCGGAAUUACUGGGCGUAAAGCGCACGCAGGCGGUCUGUCAAGUCGGAUGUGAAAUCCCCGGGCUCAACCUGGGAACUGCAUUCGAAACUGGCAGGCUAGAGUCUUGUAGAGGGGGGUAGAAUUCCAGGUGUAGCGGUGAAAUGCGUAGAGAUCUGGAGGAAUACCGGUGGCGAAGGCGGCCCCCUGGACAAAGACUGACGCUCAGGUGCGAAAGCGUGGGGAGCAAACAGGAUUAGAUACCCUGGUAGUCCACGCCGUAAACGAUGUCGAUUUGGAGGUUGUGCCCUUGAGGCGUGGCUUCCGGAGCUAACGCGUUAAAUCGACCGCCUGGGGAGUACGGCCGCAAGGUUAAAACUCAAAUGAAUUGACGGGGGCCCGCACAAGCGGUGGAGCAUGUGGUUUAAUUCGAUGCAACGCGAAGAACCUUACCUGGUCUUGACAUCCACAGAACUUUCCAGAGAUGGAUUGGUGCCUUCGGGAACUGUGAGACAGGUGCUGCAUGGCUGUCGUCAGCUCGUGUUGUGAAAUGUUGGGUUAAGUCCCGCAACGAGCGCAACCCUUAUCCUUUGUUGCCAGCGGUUAGGCCGGGAACUCAAAGGAGACUGCCAGUGAUAAACUGGAGGAAGGUGGGGAUGACGUCAAGUCAUCAUGGCCCUUACGACCAGGGCUACACACGUGCUACAAUGGCAUAUACAAAGAGAAGCGACCUCGCGAGAGCAAGCGGACCUCAUAAAGUAUGUCGUAGUCCGGAUUGGAGUCUGCAACUCGACUCCAUGAAGUCGGAAUCGCUAGUAAUCGUAGAUCAGAAUGCUACGGUGAAUACGUUCCCGGGCCUUGUACAC
rnacentral:rRNA from 1 species